rnacentral:tRNA from 1 species
GGCGGCAUAGCCAAGUGGUAAGGCAGAGGUCUGCAAAACCUCCACCCCCCCAGUUCGAAUCUGGGUGCCGCCU